UGGUGAAAUGGAUGUAAGCCUCGCAGAAUAAAUUUAGACUUGUACAGUUUACGAUACUCUUAAAGCACACAGCUCGGUAUGCCGAUUGAGAGAGAUGGAGUUUAAAUUAUAAAAGUUUAGUUAUGUAAGGGAUGCUUUUAGAAAAACAACUCAAAAAUCAGUUUUGAAUCACUUACAUAAAGAGUCGGUCAACAUUAAUACGCUAAAAUUAAAAGUUGGCGAAUAAAACAAAAAUGAAUGUUUGAAAUUGGCCUUUAAAGUUUAUUUAACAACCGUGUUCUAAUCGUGUUGUCUUUUUAAAGUAGUAAUGACAAUAAUGUAAUAUGCAAUAGUUGAGUGUGACCAAAGUAGCUUCAAUGAAAAUGCCCUGAAGGAGUAUGCUAGAAUACAAUACUUAUUAUGUCAAUAGACGGUUUUGAAUUCAAAGUGUGGCCUUCAUGUUGAUAGUAACGCCUGCAAGCAAUGGAAAGAAGAAGUGUGUGCGCAGUGUCCCAACUGGAAAUUGGAUGAGGAUCCCGAUAACCGUAUCGUUAAUGGUGCACAUAAAUUGAUGACAACAGAUGAAUGUAUGCGUCUGAAACGUGAUUUGCGACAUGCCUUUUUCACCAAUAAUGGUGAAACAGACUUUUGGAUAAUCCUGUUGCUUGUUUUGUUUAUAAUAUUUUGUAUGUCGCUGGCUCUGUGGCUUUUGGCAAAAGCGUUUGUCAUUUCGCAGCCACCCCAGAAGGAUUGCACUGAUAUCAGCAGUCAGGAUCGACAAGUGGGUGGCCGCUCUUCAGUGGAUGAUGUAGUGCAACAGUUGCAAGACAAGUGCACCGUUCCCAAACAUAGUGAUGGCUUUUUAUGUGCCUGCUUCCUUCUGGGAUAGAUUUCCAAUGAACGAGUUCGUACAGAAAACCAAGAAAACCGAAGAAAUGGCAUAUAAAGAGCAGUUCAAUGAAUCGGAUGCUGAAGCAACUAAUAUAUCAAGUGAUGCAGAAACUAACGAAUCAUUGCUUACUGAAGAAUUGAAUGAAGAUGAAGUUGUUACUGAUGCCUCAUCAAUUUCAGAAACAACCAAUAGAACUGGCGAUCAAUCUGAACAAUCAUCACACGAAGAUUCGACCUCCGGAUCCAAAGAUAUUAAGCGAACCACGUCCAUUGAUUCUAUUGAAAAGAUGCCCACACUUUAUGACCAAACAACGAAAAAUACAAAACCCGAUCAAAGACGUCGUAAAUUUCGGUGGGUAAAUUGGCUAAGACGCAGUAAGCCCGUCGAUUUCCAAGUCUAGAGUAGGCUGAGAUAUAUAUGCACCAAAAGAAAUAUCGGAAAACACAAAUACAUUUGAUUUAUACAAUGAAUCCAAGUUGCACUAACAAUAUUGAAAGUAUCGAGUGCCAAAAGUGGAUAAGUGAGGCUAUAGCGUUCUGCAAUCGCCUAUUGGUUGCAAAACAACACGAGUUCUGGGAUGAUUGGUGGCUAAACGGGCAUCCCAUCGUCUACUAUUAUCUGCCACAUUUUAAAUCCAUUUACGAUUGCCAAAAACUGAAGAAAGUCAUUGCGCGCCAACAAUCCGAACUAUCGUUUAACACAGAAGUUCCUCAGAUGGACGAGGAAAGACUUGAGCCAGCUUGGCAAACUGCAUUGAUAUUGAUUGUCGGAUGCUUGGCCUUGAUUGUUAUUGUAUCCAUGAUAUGGCUGCUGAAUAGUUCACUACGACGCAUUGCAGCACCACGAUUAAGGGACUGCGAGUGCUCGGGAUUCAGAAAAAAACGCUGUUGUGCCUCACCUAAAUCAUUCAUUUCAUUUGGCAAACCAUUUGGUCCUCUGUCGCGUUUCGGCCCUUAUAGAAGCAGAAGUAUUGUGGUUCCUAGUGGCACCUGCAGCGGCUUCAAACGAUAACUGAACUCAACUCAGCACAAUCUGAAGCGCUCCCUUGACCAUUGACAGCCAGAAGUGAACGCUACGCAACGCGAAAAAAAAAAUCGAGUUGGAAACCAGAAACCAGAAUUCAAAUCACCAAAAUGCACAGCAAAAAAUAACGACAAAUUUGAAAAAAAAAUGUAUAAAACCAAAAACAAAAUGACGCCUCGCGGUUGUGCUCAAUCGCAGAAAAGAUUUAUGAAAUGUGUUCCGGCUGGAUUUUUCUAUUUCUGCGGGCCAACACACACAAGCACAUAAAUAUCAGUGGCUGACAAGUACAGUGGCAUCGAAUUUCUAGUUUUCUAGUUAUAUAUUUUUUAUUAAAUGUGUUACAUUUUGCCAAAAAUCUAUUUGUCUUUAAUUCCAUGACCAAUAAAUGUUUCAAUGUGUCGACUCGUCUGCAAAUAAAUGCAAGGGUUGAAUAUGCAAAUGAUUAACACAAUAUUUUCUUUUAGUAACAACAGCAAGCACAUAUUGAAGAUGUAUUUCAAUCGUUCUUGUCAGAAUGCAGCAAUUAGAUACUAGAAUAAAUACAAUGUUUAUUAUUUAUUGAACUUGACAUAUCUGGAAGCUAAAAUAUGCCCAAGUUAUACAUAUUCUCUGUGUCCAAGUAGUAUUGUGAUUUUUUGUGUAAAAACAAAACAAUCUCUGUUUAUAUUUGUCUCAAAUUGGUUUACUAAGAUAACAUUUUUUUUAUUUUUGAUCAAAUAUAACACAAAAUCAAGCUUUUGCAGCCAUCAGUUUCCAAAUACGGUGAAGUUAUACGUCUUUUUAGUUUUACAAACAAUUCAAAUGGUUCUAAUCUGCUACACACGCGAUUCCUCGGCAAAUUCAGUGGAAGCGGCAAACAAAAAUGUUGAUCUAAAAAAAAAGAGCAUGCUGAGAGUGAAAUGCACAAAAUUGGCAAUAAAAAAUCAAUUGAAUUGAAUUUCGAAUUGAAUUGAAUUGAAAAUGAAUGGAUUGCGAAUUGAGUGAGCAUUUAAGUGAAAUUCAAGCAAAAUACUUUAUACAAAAAUCUAUUGGUUGUGCUAUUUCAUAUUUUCAAGACGGCUUGCUUUGUGAAGUCUGGCAAAUAAACUAUACUUUUCAAUUUAUGAA